rnacentral:rRNA from 1 species
GGAGCUUGCUCCACCGGAAAAAGAAGAGUGGCGAACGGGUGAGUAACACGUGGGUAACCUGCCCAUCAGAAGGGGAUAACACUUGGAAACAGGUGCUAAUACCGUAUAACAAUCGAAACCGCAUGGUUUUGAUUUGAAAGGCGCUUUCGGGUGUCGCUGAUGGAUGGACCCGCGGUGCAUUAGCUAGUUGGUGAGGUAACGGCUCACCAAGGCCACGAUGCAUAGCCGACCUGAGAGGGUGAUCGGCCACAUUGGGACUGAGACACGGCCCAAACUCCUACGGGAGGCAGCAGUAGGGAAUCUUCGGCAAUGGACGAAAGUCUGACCGAGCAACGCCGCGUGAGUGAAGAAGGUUUUCGGAUCGUAAAACUCUGUUGUUAGAGAAGAACAAGGAUGAGAGUAACUGUUCAUCCCUUGACGGUAUCUAACCAGAAAGCCACGGCUAACUACGUGCCAGCAGCCGCGGUAAUACGUAGGUGGCAAGCGUUGUCCGGAUUUAUUGGGCGUAAAGCGAGCGCAGGCGGUUUCUUAAGUCUGAUGUGAAAGCCCCCGGCUCAACCGGGGAGGGUCAUUGGAAACUGGGAGACUUGAGUGCAGAAGAGGAGAGUGGAAUUCCAUGUGUAGCGGUGAAAUGCGUAGAUAUAUGGAGGAACACCAGUGGCGAAGGCGGCUCUCUGGUCUGUAACUGACGCUGAGGCUCGAAAGCGUGGGGAGCAAACAGGAUUAGAUACCCUGGUAGUCCACGCCGUAAACGAUGAGUGCUAAGUGUUGGAGGGUUUCCGCCCUUCAGUGCUGCAGCUAACGCAUUAAGCACUCCGCCUGGGGAGUACGACCGCAAGGUUGAAACUCAAAGGAAUUGACGGGGGCCCGCACAAGCGGUGGAGCAUGUGGUUUAAUUCGAAGCAACGCGAAGAACCUUACCAGGUCUUGACAUCCUUUGACCACUCUAGAGAUAGAGCUUCCCCUUCGGGGGCAAAGUGACAGGUGGUGCAUGGUUGUCGUCAGCUCGUGUCGUGAGAUGUUGGGUUAAGUCCCGCAACGAGCGCAACCCUUAUUGUUAGUUGCCAUCAUUCAGUUGGGCACUCUAGCAAGACUGCCGGUGACAAACCGGAGGAAGGUGGGGAUGACGUCAAAUCAUCAUGCCCCUUAUGACCUGGGCUACACACGUGCUACAAUGGGAAGUACAACGAGUCGCGAAGUCGCGAGGCUAAGCUAAUCUCUUAAAGCUUCUCUCAGUUCGGAUUGUAGGCUGCAACUCGCCUACAUGAAGCCGGAAUCGCUAGUAAUCGCGGAUCAGCACGCCGCGGUGAAUACGUUCCCGGGCCUUGUACACACCGCCCGUCACACCACGAGAGUUUGUAACACCCGAAGUCGGUGAG